UUCUUUUCUCUUCUUAUUUUUCUCGUAUUCUCUGUUCUUCUUUUUAUUUUUCUUCUCUUCUUUAUGUUCUUCCUCCGAGAGAUUUAUGAGCUGUGAGUGAGGAUUGAUUAAAGAAACUCAGUGAUGAAUAUUUAUAGAUGAUGGCGGAGUCGAGUUGUUGUUGAAGAAUAUUAAAAUAAAGAUGAAUCAGAGAAAAGCAGAAUCAGAGUUAAGGUUGAAGAAUAGUUUAAAAUUGAUAAACUAGGGCUCAAUUCUGUUAAUAAGAAGAUGAUGGAAUUAAUUCCAGUGCCGAUCUGUUUGAUGCUUGAGCAAAGCUGGUUCCGUUGAUGAAUUGAAGAAUUUAGGGUUUGUAUGAAGUUACAUGGAAGAUGAAGUUGAUAAUUCUGAAGUAUGAUUAGAGGUGGGUUUGCUGUGAAUUAGGGUUAGACUGAAUUAUUAAUUCGAGAUUGGAUAAGUUAAGGUUUUGAAGAUGAGAUCGAUUGAAGAUGUUAAUAAAAUUAAGGUUUCGCUGUGUUCUUGAGAAAGUGAUGAAGGUGAUUAUGAGGCUGAAAUCGAUAGAAGAAGAGUUGGGUUAUCUAAGUUAUUGGAGAUGUUGUUGAUUCAGUCGAUUAUGCAAACUCAGGAAAAGGAAGAAAAGGUAAUUUAAGGCACCCUUCCAAUUGAAUGAAUUGAUAAUUGUAGAUAUGUGUCGCUUAGAUUGAAACUGAAUUGAGCCUGUUGGAGUUUUACUUUUGCCUUAACUGUGGAAUUGAGAUGUGUGAAACUCUGAAUUGCAAAUGGUGGUGAUUGGUGUUAUGGGUAAGCCUCUAAAUUAUCUGAAUUUUAAUAUUUUGAUUUGAAUGGUUACAAUUGUUGAGGUUCUGUGAAUAUGUCUGAGUUGGAGAUGAGUUAUGAGUUGUUAAUGAAAGUAUAAUGAAACUGACAUUUAGGUAACUAUUAUGUGCAUGUUGAAUUGAAGUUAUUUUGGAUGGAUUGAUUGUGGUGUUGAUUAUUGGUGGUGGUAUGAAUGAAUUGGGGAUUGAAUAUCAGUUGAGUAUUGUGUUUCUUUUUAAGAGGACUUGUUCUUGAUGGAGAUUGCAGAUGUUGUGAACAGAAUUGGUUGUGGGAUCGAUUUGAGUAUUGUUGUUGAUGUGGUAGCUACUGGAAUGAUGUUAAAUACAAGGAAAGGUUUGUUUUAGAGGAAGGGUAAUGGUUCUGUUAAAUCGAGAUGGUAGUGAACUGGAGAAUAUGUUAUGGGUUGGUCUGGUUGAGUGUAUGUUAUUGUUGGGGUUGUGUGGAUUGAAGAUAAUAGAAAUUGAGAUUUGGUUAUGUGUUGAUGUUGUUGAACUGGGCAGUUAUAACUGAAAAGAAAGAAGAAGAGUUGAAAUGUAAUUGGGCCAGAUUGUGUUGCGGUUGAGCUAUAUUGCAGGAACAUAGAUUCUGGGAUGAAGGUUAGAUUAGGGUGUUGAGUUGAACCUCUCUAGUGAAAGAUUGUAACUACAUUGACGAUUGUAAGGAAUAGCUUAUAGCUCCACUAGAGGCUUGCUACUGCAAUUGCAGGUAGGCUUAAAUUGCAGUUGUAUUUGUGUAUUAAUCUUGAAGUUUGUUUUGAAUGAAUGAAAUGUAUAAUGAUUGUAUAAA